rnacentral:lncRNA from 1 species
UUCCAAAAAAAGAAAUUAAAGGUAAGAAUAAAGGUUUCUCAACCAAAUAACCUAUCUUAUGCUCAUUGAUCAAAGACAGACAAAGAUGUGAUAAAAGAAUUCUUACCGCGCCAGGCCCAGAAGCGUGAAUGUUACCAAACCAAAACCAAUAGUGCACCUUUUCCUAAGGCUCCCUGUCAAACACAGGAAGUGAAGUAGAUUUGGCAUAACCCUUUAUCUCUUGGCCAGGAAAGCUCCUCAUUUUCGGAGGUUGCAUUACUUCAUAAUAAGCCAGUUUCUCAAAGCACAUUAAAUUAAGACCCAACAAUUCCUAUUUUGCUACUGAGCAUCACAAUUCGCAAUAUUAAAAUCGCGCAGGAUCCACCAGCUCUCACAGUUCGAGACAUUGUCAUUCUUCUUGAAUUUGUGAUUUAGGAUAAGUAUCUCAAGUUGUGCUUGCACUGAAAUUGUUGGCAUCCCUAUGAAUCAUCUAUCCUAAACACCAGAAAGCAAUCUUAGUAUGAAAUCAUUUGUCCUAAAUACCAGAAAGUGCUCUUACAUAAAAAUAUAGUAAACUUUCAUUAUUAUAUUUAUCUCAUCAUGCUUCAAUAGCACAUAGAGGAAGGGUAGAGAGCCCGAGUAUUCUGGAAUGCUAUAUCUAAUCCAUUUGGACCCCUGUAUCAAUUCUGUAAAUCUAGGCUAGCCUAUUUCUCUUUUUAGAUCUUAAUGGCAUAAUUACUUUUGAAAAGGAAAUAAACAGUGAGAAUAUCCUACACUUCCACUUGCAAGAUCUUAUGCACUCAACCAAGGCACAGUCGUAGAUGUAUCCUAUACUUCAACUUGCAGAAAAUAUAAUCAGACCAAAAAAGGAAUUUGAUACUUUCACAGAGAACAAGCAUUCAGCAUGCGGAAAUAGUGUAAAUCUUAUGUCGGGCAUUCUUCCUACUUUUUCAAGAGUCUAUGUUUGAUUUAUGCUCAAAGCAAUAUAAACACAUACUCUAAACUACGAGAGUCAGAGAUAAAUGUAAUUAGCAUUUUCCAUUCCUACUAUAUGACUCCUAUCUGCAUUAGAAGAGAUAUUCACUUUGUUGAAAAUAAAAGCAGAAUAUUUCAAAUGCUAGGUCAAUCAGAUAAAUAAAUUGAUAAAGUCUAUUAAAAUGAAUGACAAUAUAAGCUUACCUUAUAAAAUACAGCUCCAAACACCUGGGCUCUAAGAAACUAAAAUUGAACCUGCAAAAGCCUUCAGCUACAAAAAUAGAGAUUUGUAAUCUGCCAAAGUAUCAUGAGCAAAGAUAGAAGUAGCUCUAAUUUACCUCAACGCGGGGAAGCAGCAGCUACUGCUAAAGUGCAACAGGAACAAACUAAUUUGAAACCUCACUGGUUAGGAAAUGUCAAUUUUUUGGGUUAAUCCUAGUUCUGUCAUCCAACUCUGUACGCAAGCACGUAAGUACAAAAGUUCAACUAAAAAUUUUCCAUUAAAACUUUGAAGGUGACAUAGUAAUUAUCUACCUUAGUAACUCAAAUUUAUAAAGAUUUAUUAUUUUCAAUGCCAAUCCAUGUACGAUUAAGAAAGCAGUACCUCUCAAUACCUGUUCUCCUCAGUUUGAUGAUGGAGAUAUAUGAGUUGACUUCUACAUUUUUAAAUGAGCAUGAUAGACACGUAUAAGCAUAGUCAAUGAUCAAAUGUGAUAUUAAUGGUCAUUCUAUCAAGUAGAGAUGCUUAAAUGGAAAACACAAGAGUUUAUAUACCGGCUUUAACAUUCGGUGCAAGUUUAGGGGACACUUAGACCAUUUUGUCUAAAAUUAUAAACAAAAAGUUUUAAUGCAUUUAUUUAUAAUGAUAAUUAAAAAUGAGGAUAAAUAUUUUUGUUGAAAAU